GAUGAACGCUGACAGAAUGCUUAACACAUGCAAGUCCACUUGAACUUCGGUUUGGGUGGCGGACGGGUGAGUAACGCGUAAAGAACUUGCCUCACAGAUAGGGACAACAUUUGGAAACGAAUGCUAAUACCUGAUAUUAUGAUUUUAGGGCAUCCUAGGAUUAUGAAAGCUAUAUGCGCUGUGAGAGAGCUUUGCGUCCCAUUAGCUAGUUGGAGAGGUAACGGCUCACCAAGGCGAUGAUGGGUAGCCGGCCUGAGAGGGUGAUCGGCCACAAGGGGACUGAGACACGGCCCUUACUCCUACGGGAGGCAGCAGUGGGGAAUAUUGGACAAUGGACCAAGAGUCUGAUCCAGCAAUUCUGUGUGCACGAUGAAGUUUUUCGGAAUGUAAAGUGCUUUCAGUUGGGAAGAAAAAAAUGACGGUACCAACAGAAGAAGUGACGGCUAAUACGUG
rnacentral:rRNA from 1 species